UGGGGAAUAUUGCACAAUGGGCGAAAGCCUGAUUCAGCGACGCCGCGUGAGGGAUGACGGCCUUCGGGUUGUACACCUCUUUCAGUAGGGACGAAGCGCAAGUGACUGUACCUGCAGAAGAAGCACCGGCUAACUACGUGCCCGCAGCCGCGGUAAUACGUAGGGUGCGAGCGUUGUCCGGAAUUACUGGGCGUAAAGAGCUUGUAGGCGGUUUGUCACGUCGUCUGUGAAAUCCUAGGGCUUAACCAUGGACGUGCAGGAGAUAAGGGCUGAAUGGAGUACUACAGGGGAGACUGGAAUUUCUGGAGUAGCGGUGGAAUGCACAGAAGUCAGGAAGAACACCGAUGGCGAAGGCAGGUCUCUGGGUAGUAACUGACGCUGAGGAGCGAAAGCAUGGGUAGCGAACAGG
rnacentral:rRNA from 1 species